UCCCUAUGGGUCCUAUUGUGUCCCCAAGUGCCUCUCUGUGGGUCCCUAUGGGUCCCUAUGUGUCCCUAUGGGUCCCAAUGCUUCUCUGUGGGUCCCUAUGUGUCCCUAUGGGUCCCUAUGUGUCCCAAUGCCUCUCUAUGUGUCCCUAUGUGUCCCUAUGGCUCUCUAUGUGUCCCUAUGCGUCGCUAUGUGUCCCUAUGUGUCCCUAUGUGUCCCUAUGUGUCCCUAUGUGUCCCUAUGGGUCCCAAUGUGUCCCUAUGGGUCCCAAUGCCUCUCUGUGGGUCCCUAUGUGUCCCUAUGUGUCUGUAUGUGUCCCAAUGCCUCUCUAUGUGUCUCUAUGGCUCUCUAUGUGUCCCUAUGUGUCCCUAUGUGUCCCUAUGGCUCUCUAUGUGUCCCUAUGUGUCCCUAUGGGUCCCAAUGCCUCUCUGUGGGUCCCUAUGUGUCCCUAUGGGUCGCUAUGGGUCCCGUCAGCGCUGUGUGCCCCAUAGGCGUCGCUAUGUGUCCCUAUGUGUCCCUAUGUGUCCCAAUGUGUCCCUAUGGGUCCCUAUGUGUCCCUAUGGGUCCCUAUGUGUCCCAAUGCCUCUCUAUGUGUCCCUAUGUGUCCCUAUGGGUCGCUAUGGGUCCCGUCAGCGCUGUGUGCCCCAUAGGCGUCGCUAUGUGUCCCUAUGUGUCCCUAUGUGUCCCUAUGGUUCCCUAUGUGUCCCUAUGGUUCCCUAUGUGUCCCAAUGCCUCUCUGUGGGUCCCUAUGGGUCCCUAUGUGUCCCUAUGGGUCCCAAUGCUUCUCUGUGGGUCCCUAUGUGUCCCUAUGGGUCCCUAUGUGUCCCUAUGCCUCUCUAUGUGUCCCUAUGUGUCCCUAUGGGUCUCUAUGUGUCCCUAUGUGUCCCUAUGGUUCCCAAUGUGUCCCUAUGGGUCCCAAUGCCUCUCUGUGGGUCCCUAUGGGUCCCUAUGUGUCCCUAUGGCUCUCUAUCCGAUCUCUAUGGCUCUCUAUGGCUCUCUAUGUGUCCCUAUGUGUCCCUAUGUGUCCCUAUGGGUCCCAAUGUGUCCCUAUGGGUCCCAAUGCCUCUCUGUGGGUCCCUCUGGGUCCCUAUGUGUCCCUAUGGCUCUCUAUGUGUCCCAAUGCCUCUCUAUGUGUCCCUAUGUGUCCCUAUGUGUCCCUAUGGGUCCCUAUGGGUCACUAUGGGUCCCGUCAGCGCUGUGUGCGCCCCAUAGGCAUCGCUAUGUGUCCCUAUGUGUCCCUAUGUUGUCCUAUGGGUUGCUAUGUGUCCCUAUGUGUCCCUAUGGGUCCCUAUGGGUCCCAAUGUGUCCCUAUGUGUCCCUAUGGGUCCCUAUGUGUCCCAAUGCCUCUCUAUGUGUCUCUAUGGCUCUCUAUGUGUCCCUAUGUGUCCCUAUGGGUCCCAAUGUGUCCCUAUGGGUCCCAAUGCCUCUCUGUGGGUCCCUAUGGGUCUCUAUGUGUCCCUAUGGCGCUGUGUGCCCCAUAGGCGUCGCUAUGUGUCCCUAUGUGUCCCUAUGGGUCCCUAUG
ensembl:lncRNA